UCUUUUUUUAAAAGAAAACGGUAAUCUUUAUAAAAUUCGAAAUAGUGUCUAUUCCAGGACGUUUUGGGUCUUGCGCAAUGGUCAUCUGUGAAUCCGCCAGGUCCUGACGGAAGCAACGGUAAGCGGUAAUGAACAUGUGCCGCGAGGGUGCCUGAGAUUGUCCUGGGAUAGACACUGUUUCGAAGUAAGU
rnacentral:SRP_RNA from 1 species